CCCCGCCCCAUCCUCCUCCCCCCCCCCCCCCCCGGGCGGGUUCGGCGCGCAUGCGCGGCCCUCGGCUCGGCCUGGGCGCACCUUUUCUCCCUCCUGCCACAAUGUGAGCGCUCAGCCGAGCAGAUAACCGCCGGCUGCCUGCUCCACCCCCGGCCCUCGCCCACUCCGCCACUCCCGAGCGCCCAGGUGGAGAGAAUAUCUAUCUUCAAGCAGAACAGGAGAAAAAACCCACACAAGAGUGACUACCCCACCAGGAACCUAUCAAGCACUUAGGAAUGAGAAAAAUGGCAAGCCCUUGAGGUUUUUGUUCUCUUCCCUGUCCAGGGUCCACUGUCUUAGCAUGCAAGCCUUCAAGCCUGAACAAGGAAACUAUUCAUCCAUGGAGCCAACCAGGAGGAAGCCACUUCCUGUUCUCUCCCUGUCCUGGCCUGGCCAGGCCAGGACAUGGCUUUCCAUCCCAGGCUGGGAGGAUGGAAUUGAUAAAGGCCCAUUGUGACAGUCUCACAAACCCAGAGGCCAUCAAGGGGCUAAGAAGCCACUUAACAGCUUUUGAACAUUUGUAAAAAGAAUUAUCCUGCAGAAGAGAAUGCAGAGAGGGGCCCAAGGUCGCCACCGGGAUGCACCUCUGCCACCCAUGAUAGGGAGGCUGACAGUAAAGCCAGCAGGGGCCCAGCCUGCUUGCAACACCAUGGGCUGACCUGAGGCAGGAGGGACUCAGACACCACCAACAGGCAGCUUUACAAUUCAGGACUCCUGGACACCUGGAGUUGAAACCCAAUCUCCUGCCAAAUGCAGGAAACACAAGGGUCCUUGAAAGGGCCUGAGGGAGAGAGG
rnacentral:lncRNA from 1 species